rnacentral:tRNA from 1 species
ACGGGAGUCUUUCAAUGGUAGGAAAGCGGUCUCCAAAACCGUCAAUGAGGGUUCGAUUCCUUCCUCCCGUGCUA